GACGAACGCUGGCGGCGUGCUUAACACAUGCAAGUCGAACGGAAAGGCCCUGCUUUUGUGGGGUGCUCGAGUGGCGAACGGGUGAGUAACACGUGAGUAACCUGCCCUUGACUUUGGGAUAACUUCAGGAAACUGGGGCUAAUACCGGAUAGGAGCUCCUGCUGCAUGGUGGGGGUUGGAAAGUUUCGGCGGUAGGGGAUGGACUCGCGGCUUAUCAGCUUGUUGGUGGGGGAGUGGCUUACCAAGGCUUUGACGGGUAGCCGGCCUGAGAGGGUGACCGGCCACAUUGGGACUGAGAUACGGCCCAGACUCCUACGGGAGGCAGCAGUGGGGAAUAUUGCACAAUGGGCGGACGCCUGAUGCAGCAGCGCCGCGUGCGGGAUGACGGCCUUCGGGUUGUAAACCGCUUUCGCCUGUGACGAAGCGUGAGUGACGGUAAUGGGUAAAGAAGCACCGGCUAACUACGUG
rnacentral:rRNA from 1 species